rnacentral:rRNA from 1 species
GACGAACGCUGGCGGCGUGCUUAACACAUGCAAGUCGAACGGAAAGGCCCUGCUUUUGUGGGGUGCUCGAGUGGCGAACGGGUGAGUAACACGUGAGUAACCUGCCCUUGACUUUGGGAUAACUUCAGGAAACUGGGGCUAAUACCGGAUAGGAGCUCCUGCUGCAUGGUGGGGGUUGGAAAGUUUCGGCGGUUGGGGAUGGACUCGCGGCUUAUCAGCUUGUUGGUGGGGUAGUGGCUUACCAAGGCUUUGACGGGUAGCCGGCCUGAGAGGGUGACCGGCCACAUUGGGACUGAGAUACGGCCCAGACUCCUACGGGAGGCAGCAGUGGGGAAUAUUGCACAAGGGGCGGAAGCCUGAGGCAGCAACGCCGCGUGCGGGAUGACGGCCUUCGGGUUGUAAACCGCUUUCGCCUGUGACGAAGCGUGAGUGACGGUAAUGGGUAAAGAAGCACCGGCGAACUACGU